AAAACCAGAGAGCUUUCGUUUUCUGAAAAUAAAACUUGAAUUAAUUUCAUUGCUUACAGGCCAACGUAUAUAUACAUAAGAAAACAAAAUGACAGCUAGCUAAAAGAUAACAAAUUCAGAUAAAACAAAAACAAUCACUAAAUCAUUGGCCAAUAAUAUAGAGCUUCUAGAAUCUUCAUCCAAUCAUCCCAUCUGCUGAUAUUCCUCUGUGUAACUGUUUUGCCACCUCAUUGAAUUCCUCUCAUUUCUUUCAUCAGCUGACUGUAAUUGUGAGUAGCUCAGGUGGCAUGCCACUGUAGCAUUGAGGUCAUCAGUUGACUGGCUAAGAUCAUGGCUGCCAUGGCUGCUAUUUUCAACACCCUCUCUCAAACACAAGGUUUUGUCAAACACCUUGAGUUUGCUUCUGAAGCAGCUAAAUUUGUAAUAAGGCAACGGCUUAGUUAGAACAUCAGCUAUUUGAUCCCUGCCUGCAACAAAGCUGAUUUCCAUUUCACCUCUAGCUACCUUGUCCCUGAUAAAAUGUAGAUCUAUCUCAAAGUGUUUAGUCUUUGAAUGAAAAACAGGAUUGGUAGCUAUUGCUGCUGCACUUGUGCUAUCACUUAAGAUUGUUGGUGUUCUUUGUAUCUCUAGUUUCAGCUCACUUAGUAAGGAGCUAAUCCAUGUAAUUUCUGCAGCACAGAGGGCCAUUGCUCUGUAUUCUGAUUCAGACGUAGAUCUAGCAACCAAACCUUGCUUUCUUGAACUCCAAGCAAUGAGAUUUCCACCCAUAAAUACACAAUAGCCACUGAUGGACCUCCUGUCAUCCAAAUCAUUUGCCCAGUCUGCAUCUGUGUAAGCCACCAGAUCGAAAUACUCGGACUUCUUGAAUUUCAGACACAUGUUCAUGGUGUUUUUAAGAUACCUCAAUACUCUUUUGCAUGCUAUCCAGUGAGGUUGCCUAGGAUCUGACAUGUAUUGGCUGAGCUUGUUCACUGAGUAAGCAAGCUCAGGCCUUGUGAGUGUUGCAUACUGCAGGCUGCCUAUAAUACUUCGAUACAGUGUGGGAUCAUGAAACUUUUCUCCUUCAUUUUUCUUCAGCUUUUCUGUGGUACUGAAAGGUGAUUCAAUUCCCUUACAGUCACUCAUUUCUGUUUUGGCAAGCAAAUCUUGAAUAUACUUGGUUUGAGAUAGCAAAAUGGCAUUUUGUUUUCUGUUUACCUGAAUCCCCAGAAAAAAGUUUAGCUCUCCCAAAUCCUUUAAGGCAAAGGUUUUAUUUAAGUUGCUAACCAGCUCUUCAAUACUACCAUUGUUAUCACCAGUAAUAAUAAUGUCAUCAACAUAAAUAAGCAAUAUAACUAUCUCAGAUUUAGUUUUUCUGUAGAACAAUGAGGUAUCACACUUAGAAUUUUCAAAUCCCCAAGAGUUCAAGGCACCCUUCAGUUUGUCAAACCAUGCCCUGGGGGGUUGUCUCAAGCCAUACAGUGCUUUCUUUAAUCUGCAUAUGUGAUUGGGCUUGCUUUUGUUCACAAAACCUUCAGGUCGUGGCAUGUAAACCAUCUCUGUCAGCUCACCAUUCAAGAAAGCAUUGUUUAUAUCUACCUGCCUCAGCAACCAGUCAUUGUUCACUGCCAAAGUGAGGAUGAUUCUUAUUGUUGCAGCCUUGACAAUUGGGCUGAAAGUCUCUGUGAAAUCAAUGCCUGGAAUUUGCAAGAACCCCUUCACCACUAAUCUGGCCUUAUAUUUGUUUAUGGUUCCAUCUGGAUUCUCUUUAACUCUGUACACCCAUUUAUUUCCAAUCAGCUUGUAGCUUGAGUCAUUUGGUACCAAGGUCCAUGUUCCAUUUUUCAUUAAGGCAUUGUACUCAUCUUCCAUUGCCCUUUUCCAGCUUGGUUCUUUUAAAGCUUCUGAGGUGUUUGAGGGUAAUGCUAUGUGUGGUUGAGUAGUGAUUUGGUACAACUUUGGUUUAAAGAUCCCUGCUUUAGAUCUUGUUACCAUAGGAUGUGAUGGUAUAACUUCUUUUGUGUUGGGUGUUGUGAUAGGGGAUGAAGGUUGGUCAUUUGCUUGAGGCUGGUGAUUUGAAUGAGGUGAGGAUAACUGAUUAUUUGAUAUCAUAUCAUUGCUUAAAUUCUGUUGUGUCUUACCUUGGUCAAGGUUCUGGGAUUGUUCUGUGUUUUCAGGAGCUUCAAGAGAGUGGCUUUGAUCAGCUGUUGACUGAGUGUUUUGAGGAGUAUCAAGGAAGAAUGAUACGACCUGAAAUUUUUCUAAAAGAUUAAGGAAGACAUCCUGACUUGUGGACUCUUCCCUGCUGAACUUGGGGUCAUUAGAAAAAGGGAAUGAGCUUUCAUUGAACCUAACACUUGCAGAGACAUAUAUUCUACCUGAGUGAUGCAUUCAAACAUAUUCUUUGUGAGUUAAGCUUAUUCCUAGCAGUGUGCAUUUGGCAGUAUGGAAAUCAAACUUGUGCUUGUUAUAUGGUCUCAAAAAUGGAUAGCAUUCACAUCCAAACACUUUGAUUUGUGAGUAAUUUGGUUUGUGAUGGUAAAGCAUUUCAAAUGGGGUUUUGUUUCCAAUAACAGGUGAGGCUAAUCUAUUGAUAAUGUAGGUAGCAUAACUGAAGGCUUCUUGCCAAAAUUUUAAUGGCAUUUUAGCUUGUGCCAGCAAUGUGAGUCCAGUUUCUACUACAUGUCUGUGCUUUCUCUCAACCUUCCCAUUUUGUUCAUGUAAAUAAGGACAUGAUUGUCUCAAUAUAAUGCCAUCUUUGUCAAGGAAUGGUUUGAAUGGCUUAAACUCUCCUCCCAUGUCUGUCUGUAGUGCUUUAAUUUUCAGAUUCAAUUGAUUUUCAAUUUGGCUUUUGAAGGUGAUAAAUGUGUUGAGAGCUUGAGAUUUUGUUGCCAAAGGAAACAACCAGGUGUAUCUUGUCAUGUCAUCCACAAAAGAUAUGUAAUAUUUGUGUCCAUGAUUUGAAGGAAUUGGUGCUGGUCCCCAUAGGUCAGCAUGAAUCAGCUCUAGGGCUUUGCUGGUUUUAGUUUCUGUGCUCUUGAAAUUUUGCUUAGACAAUUUUCCAUACUGACAUGCACAACAAAAUGAAGGAAUAGAAUUCUUGUUUAAUUUGAACUGAUUACAAGACAACAAAGUACUUUUCAAGGCAGACUCAUUUGGAUGCCCUAGUCUGAGAUGCCAGAGAUCAAUAUCUUUCAAAACAUCAUUGCUUGACUCAUCAGUUUUAGAAGACUCAAAACAAACAUUAGCUAGCUUGAUGUUGUGCAAAUUUUAAUGUACUCGCAAGCGCACGAAUCUAUUGUAGUAUAGACUAAUGGUGACGAGUGUCGAUCCCACGAGGAGGUGGAUUUUUAAUUAUAUAUAGAAUUAAUUUUGUAAAUGGGUGGUUGGAAUUGUGGUGGAAGUGAUUUAAAAUAUGCUAAAAUUGGAAUUGCAAUGGCGAGAAUAAAUUGUAGAGAAAAUCGAUUAAAUUGACGUACUUGGGUAUCUGGAUCUGUAUCAACAUGCAUCAUGGGCUAAAUAAUCCGUAUUAAUGUCAAUUAAAUCAUGAGGGGGGAAUCCACACCUCAUGAACCACGCUCUAAUCAAUAUGGUGCUAAGGGCUUAUCGUGCCAAAUAAUAAUAACCUUAUACUAGAGAGCCGGUGUAACCAAGGCGGUAUCUAGACAAGAUCAGUAUUAUUUGUCGACGAUAAGUCAAAUCAUCCACAAAAACUAGAGGGGAAAAGAAAAUAAAUUUACCAAAUAAAGCCCAUGACACAUGUUGAGACUUCACCUUCAACCCAAGCUUGAAAGAAAAUUAGCCACUCAUAAUUGAACUAGGGGCAAAAAGGGAAUUGAUUAAAAUACAAAGAAAAUACAAGAUGGAGAAGGAAUUACAGAAAAUGGAUCCCAAAAAUGGAUUCAGAGAUAUCAAAUUAGGGGGGGAGGCCCCCCUUUUUAUAGAUACAUGGAGUAAAUCAUGGCCAUCGGAUUAAAAACAGUUUGGACGCUCAGGAUUGCGCCACGUCAUCAGUCAACAGUCCACGGUUUGACCACGCGGAUGAACAGUAACACGGUUUGACUCGGAUGAACAGUAACACGGUUUGGUUGAAAAUAAUCCUGUGUGAUGCAUGUACCGUACGCGAGAUUUUUCAUCCACUGAUAUGCUGCCACGUCACCAUCAACAGUACAUAAGAAUUUUAUCCCAACAGGAUCGUGACACCUCAUCAGUCAAUGCCACAUCAUCGGUCAAUGCCACGUCAUCGAUCCGUCUAUGUGAACAGUGUUGUGAACAGUAACGUAGUUAGUACCGUACACGUGAAUAGUACCGUACAUAUGAAUAGUGCUAUUUUUCCUUUUAUGCUCCUCCUAAGGUUUUCGACCGUCCUGAGUUCAAAAGUGAUGUCCGUUUUGCCGUCUGAUCUCUCCUUUAUUGUGAAAUGACUAUAAUGCCCCUAAAAUAGAUAAAAUACUUAAUUAAAAUAAAACACAUGUAAUUAAAUCACAAGAAGGUUAAAUACAUAAAAGUAAGGGUUGUUAGUAAGACUUGAAAUGUAAAAUGACGGUUUUCUCCUUUAUAAAUAUGCAUUUUCUAACACUCAACACUUAACACUACUAGGAUUAAAUGACAACAUAGACACUGGAUUGCUGAUGCAACUUAUUGACUCAGACAUAAAAGAUGAAGACAAAACAGUAGCAUAAAGAGUUUUGCUCACACUCAGGUGAGUAGGCAAGCACAGCAACUCAUAAAGCCCCUCUCUAGCCAUUCCUUUCACCAGAAUUUUCCCUUGCCUCUUGUCCUUGAUAAAGCACACAGAUUUUUGAAAUUCAAUGUCAAUAUCAUUGUCAUGUAAUAAUCUGGAAAUGCUAAUGAGAUUUUUAGUGAUGCUUGGCACAAAUAAUAUGUCAUUCAAGGCAAUGUGUUUAUGUGGAUUUGAAGUGGAAAGCAUAGAAUUACCAACAUGAGAGAUCAGGAGUUUUUCACCAUUUCCAACAGUUAAUUUUUCAUUACCUUGAUACUCAGAGUUGAUGUUUAUGUUACCAAGAGCAUUUGUCACAUGGUUUGUGGCACCACUGUCCAGGUACCAGGCUCCACUGCUUUGGCCAUCAGUUGCAGCCACAUAUGCACCUCUUUGUUCUCUCCUUUGGCUUGGUUGUGGCACAUAAUUCUUUUUGAAUCUGUGCCAGCAAUCAGCAGCUGUGUGUCCCAUUUUCCAGCAAAUUUGACAAGGCCUUUUUGGAUUUGAACCAUCCUCAUCACUUACAGCUUUACCUUUCCCUUUGUCCUGAGAGUUCUGAUUUCCCUGACCAGAUCCAUUUCCAGGGGUUCUGAAAAUUAUUCCAGGCUGGUGUUGGUUUCCAGCCCUGUUGUAGUUGUUCCAAUUCCUUCUUCCAUUUCUUGCUUGUGCAUAGUUUGCCUCUAUAGUCCCUGAGCUUAAGUUAUGUUCAGUUCUGUUUUCUUGACUGAGAAGCAUGCCAUAGACUUCAUAAUGUGAGGGACUUUCUUGCAUUGAGUUUAUGCUAGCUAUAACUGGGUCAUAUUCUGAUUCUAAACCAGCAAAUACAUACAUGAUAAAGUCAUCAUCACUCAUGUUACUCCCUGCAGCCCUAAGAGCAUUCAAUAUGGACUUCAUUCUAGAGUAAUACUCAUGAAUAGUUAAUGAACCCUUUUUGGUGGUCUGGAUUUGUGUUCUGAGGUGUAAGAUUCUAGCUCUAGUUCUUGCACCAAACUGAUUGGAAAGAGUUGUCCACACCUCAAGAGAAGUGGAACAAUCCACCACAGUGCCUAAAACUUCCUCAGUCAGUGAAGAUAACAACCAACUCAGAAGAAUGUGGUCUUGUUUCUUCCAGACUUGGUAUUCUGGGUUGGGUGUGGUAACUAUUGUUUGGUCUUGUCCAAGGUUUAUGAAGACUCUAGGAGGGCAGAUAUGACUGCCAUCUAUGAACCCCUCAAGCUCGUUUGCUCUAAUGCUAGAAAUCACUUGUGAUCUCCAGAGCAUGAAAUUGUUUUGGUUGAGCUUAAUGGGGGUUGUGAAUACAUAUGUGCUGCUAGUGAUGUGUUGAGUGGGUGAGGGUGUGUUGUGACUUGAACUUCGUUCAGUGUUUUGAUUUUCAUUUUGAUUUAAGUUGCCCAUCUGAUCAUUUUGAUUCACAUUUGCUUGUGUGCUGCUACUGCUUGCCAUAGCUUUAAAGAUGGCUCUGAUACCAACUUAAAAUUCUUAGAGAAUUGUUUUUUCUUAGCAAGCAGAGCAGAGUAAAACCAGAGAGCUUUCGUUUUCUGAAAAUAAAACUUGAAUUAAUUUCAUUGCUUACAGGCCAACGUAUAUAUACAUAAGAAAACAAAAUGACAGCUAGCUAAAAGAUAACAAAUUCAGAUAAAACAAAAACAAUCACUAAAUCAUUGGCCAAUAAUAUAAAGCUUCUAGAAUCUUCAUCCAAUCAUCCCAUGUGCUGAUAUUCCUCUGUGUAACUGUUUUGCCACCUCAUUGAAUUCCUCUCAUUUCUUUCAUCAGCUGACUGUAAUUGUGAGUAGCUCAGGUGACAUGCCACUGUAGCAUUGAGGUCAUCAGUUGACUGGCUAAGAUCAUGGCUGCCAUGGCU
rnacentral:lncRNA from 1 species